AUAAGAUCGGACACAAAUAUUUCAAACCAUUUCUUUUUAUAAAAUAUCGGAUUUUUGAAAACACUUUGAAAACGAUUAUAAACAAGUACAAAAACCAUUUUUAUUCAAAACUGCAUAUGAACUCACCAACUUUUUAGUUGACAUUUUUCAAAACGACUUGUAUUCUCAGGAAUUGCAGUAGCAGGUAAUAAGUUCGAUUAUAAGAUCAAGUGGGNGUAGCAGGUAAUAAGUUCGACUAUAAGAUCAAGUGGUGCGUCUUCAAAAAAUUUUACUUUCUUACUUUUGUGUAACUGAUGAACAAAAUUCAAUAUGUAAACUAUGUAAGUGUGCAUCUUCAAUGUAUGAUGUUUGCUUGCUAUGUUUCAUUCAUAUUCAAUUGUUAUGAUACUAUACAUGAAGUCGUCUGCCCCCGGACGUUUCCGCAGUCCAGGUUCGGGGGUGUGACAAGUUGGUAUCAGAG
rnacentral:lncRNA from 1 species